rnacentral:rRNA from 1 species
GACGAACGCUGGCGGCGUGCCUAACACAUGCAAGUCAAGGCGGUAGCAAUACCGACUGGCGCACGGGUGCGGAACACGUAGGUAAUCUGCCCUUUAGGGGAGAACAACUAGCCGAAAGGUUAGCUAAAUCUCCGUAACGUCUAACUAUGGCAUCAUAGAUUGACCAAGUUUUCUAAGGGAUGAGCCUGCGUCUGAUUAGCUAGUUGGUGAGGUAAUGGCUCACCAAGCCGACGAUCUGUAGCUGGUCUGAGAGGACGACCAGCCACACUGGGACUGAGACACGGCCCAGACUCCUACGGGAGGCAGCAGUGGGGAAUUUUGACAAUGGGCGCAAGCCUGAUCCAGCCAUUCCGCGUGCAGGA